UCACUUGCGCGCGUGGCUCUGGCUGCGCAGGAACAGCUGGUGCUUCCGAGGGCGGUCGGCGAGAGCGCGGGCGUGGGGCGCUGGGGGGCCGGUCGGGCAGCGCUGCGGGAGCAGCCGCCGGCACCGCCGCCUUGCACCAUCGCAUCAUGUCCGGGCAGCUGGAGCGUUGCGAGCGCGAAUGGCAUGAGCUGGAGGGAGAAUUUCAAGAACUGCAGGAGACGCACAGGAUCUACAAGCAGAAGCUGGAGGAGCUGGCUGCGCUGCAGACGCUGUGUAGCAGUUCCAUCAGUAAGCAGAAGAAGCACCUCAAGGACUUGAAGCUUACACUCCAGAGGUGCAAACGCCAUGCCAGUCGGGAGGAGGCGGAGCUCGUUCAGCAGAUGGCAGCGAACAUCAAGGAGCGGCAGGACGUCUUCUUCGACAUGGAGGCCUACCUGCCCAAGAAGAACGGGCUCUACUUGAACCUGGUCCUCGGCAAUGUGAACGUGACCCUCCUCAGCAACCAGGCCAAGUUUGCCUACAAGGACGAAUAUGAGAAGUUUAAGCUCUACCUGACCAUCAUCCUGCUCCUGGGUGCCGUGGCAUGUCGAUUCGUCCUUCACUACAGGGUGACUGACGAAGUCUUCAACUUCCUGCUGGUGUGGUAUUACUGCACCCUGACCAUUCGGGAGAGCAUUCUCAUCAGCAACGGCUCAAGAAUUAAAGGCUGGUGGGUGUCUCACCACUACGUCUCCACAUUCCUGUCCGGAGUGAUGCUGACCUGGCCUAAUGGACCCAUUUAUCAGAAGUUUCGCAACCAGUUCUUAGCAUUUUCCAUUUUUCAGAGCUGCGUCCAGUUCCUGCAAUAUUAUUACCAGAGGGGCUGCCUCUACCGGCUGCGGGCCCUGGGGGAGAGGAACCACCUGGAUCUCACAGUGGAAGGGUUCCAGUCCUGGAUGUGGCGGGGCCUCACCUUUCUCCUGCCCUUCCUCUUCUGUGGCCAUUUCUGGCAGCUCUACAAUGCCGUCACGCUGUUUGAGCUCUCCAGCCACGAGGAAUGCAGAGAAUGGCAGGUGUUCGUGCUGGCGCUCACCUUCCUCAUCCUCUUCCUCGGCAACUUCCUGACCACGCUCAAAGUCGUGCAUGCCAAGCUCCAGAAGAACAGAGGCAAGACAAAGCAGCCGUGAGCCUCGGGCUCCUGUGCCCUCGGCCCGGACUUCAGACUGCAGGGGGCUCCCGGGCUCCUUCCCAGCAGCCAUCUCAGGCCCGUGGCAUCGCGGGGAGAGGGCCCAGGCCCUGGUCCCCCAGUGGACCCCAGUGGUCUAGAGGAAUGUGAGCCCCGCCUGUCCGCACAGUGUCCGCCCACAUAUUUAUGACAUAUUUAAUGCUGGGUCCCCCAUCGUCCCUGGAACCCGAGGCCUCACCCCUGUGCUUGAAGGUGGCUGAGGCCGGGCCAGUCUUCCUGGGGAUGGGGCCUGAAGCCUCAGGGAGCCCCUCUGUUCCCACUCCUGUCAUUUGAACCCCUCUGGGUGGGGUUUGGAUGUGCCUCGCGGGGUUGGAUUUAUGCUGACCUGCUACUUACCAGGCCCAGGCUGGGGUGGUGUGAACCCUCAGUGUCCUGUGGCGCCCCCACCCCGGGGCCACUCUGCUUCUGCUGUGAGCCCCCUCCUCGCCCACCCCGCCACGUGGUGAGGGUUAUUUAAGUUCUCACAGACCCACCGCGUCUGCCUCGUGCUCUUCUUGCCCCUGGGAGCGCUGGGGGCAUCCUGAGUCAGGCUGUGAGCAGAUUCGCCACCAGAGGGCGCCCUGGGCCCUGGGUCGUCCAAGGGGACAAGGAUGUUCCCGUCUGUGCUUCAGGGUUCCCUGACCCCCCCAUCCUGCAGCCCACCUUCCUGCAGUGUCGUGGCAGGUACUUGGAGAGUGGGACCAAGACCCUUGGCCCCUGUGGAGGGGAACCACCUCCCCCCUCCUUCCCAGAGCUUCUGGAUGUUGUGGGAGGGAGGUGGGGGUGCCUGGCAGGCUCACCCCCAGGGGCCGCACCCUGAGGCGGGGCCAGAGCCACUGGGCAUCGCUUGGGUCAGAUUCUGCAUUCGACGGGAGGCAGAGAGGCCACCAGGUUUGGCUGAGUGCUCUGCCCCACCAUUCAUAUAUGGGCCUCAGCUCCCCCUAACUGUGGCCCUACAAAUCCCUAGGCCAGACCUCACAGCAGUGCCCACAGGCAUGCCUUGUUUAGCCCUCCUCAAGGAAUUUUAAAAUUUUUAAUUACUUUUUUUUCUUUGAGACAGGGUCUGUUGCCUAGGCGGGAGUGCAGUGGCAUCAUAGGUCACUGCAGCCUCCGCCUCCAGGGCUCAAGGGAUCCUCCCACCUCAGCCUCUGGAGUAGCUGGGACCACAAUCACACACCACCAUGCCCUGCUCCUUUUUUUUUUUUUUUUUUUUUGAGAUGGAGUCUCGAUCUGUCACCCAGGCUGGAGUGCAGUGACACGAUCUCAGCUCACUGCAACCUCUGCCUCCCAGGUUCAAGUGAUUCUCCUGCCUCAGCCUCCCGAGUAACUGGGACUACAGGCGCGUGCCACCAUGCCUGGCUUUUUUUUUUUUUUUUUUUGUAUUUUUAGUAGAGACAGGGUUUCACCAUGUUUGCUAGGAUAGUCUCGAUCUCUUGACCUUGUGAUCUGCCUGCCUCGGCCUCCCAAAGUGCUGGGAUUACAGGCGUGAGCCACCAUGCCUGGUCACCCUGCUACUUUUUAAUACUUUUUAGUAGAGAUGGGGUCUCACUAUGUUGCCCAGGCUGGUCUCCAACUCAUGGGCUCAACUGAUCCUCCUAUCUUGGCCUCCCAAAGCGCUGGGAUUACAGGUGCGAGCCACUGUGCCUGGCCUGAUUACAUUUUUAAAAUGAGAUUUCCCCUCCCCUACAGUGAGAUUCCACAUAAAAAUCCAGAUUUCUGCUUUCCCUAGAAAAGCGGACCUGGCAACAUUCCCGUGGCACAGGACGCCUACUCUCCAGUUGCCACAGGCCCUGCCACCCCCCUGCCCUUCAUUCUGGUCUCCUUUCUGGUCCUUUUUAGGCACCUGCGCAUUUGCCCUAGAUUAGGAGUCAGCUAGCUGUCUGUAAAGGGCCAGAUGGCAACUAUUUUGAGCUUUAUGGGCCAGGUGGUUUGUGGCAGCUACUCUUCACCUGCAGCCACAGAGCACAAGGCAAUGCAGAAAGGAAUGGGUGUUGCUGUGUUCCAAUAAAACUUUAUUUACAAAUCAGGCUGUGGCCAGAUGUGGCCCACAGGCUGUAGGUGUCGGACCUCUACCGUAGACCAUCAUGAGACCUGGGGUUCUUCGAGAACAAGAACUCCUUGGUUGAUUCCCCAGGGUACGGCAGGGCCUUGGGAACCUGGGUGGGCUGUGGAGGGUCUCAGAAGGCUCCUUCCUUUGGCAACCUGACUUCUUGGAAGCUCAGGCUUAGCUGACGCCCCAGCACUGGGCCAGGGGGGCUGAGGCAGGAGAUAUGGGGAAGGCUAGGAGUCGCCUGAAGCCGUUAUCCCAUCUUAGGCGACACCGACUCCUAGGCGCCCUCCAGAGCCAAGCAGCUUGCGACUUCUGGUGGGCACCAGAAUCCCCUGGGAUGCUUGUUUUAAAAGUCCUGGGCCGGGCACGGUGGCUCACGCCUGUAAUCCCAGCACUUUGGGAGGCUAAGGUGGGUGGAUCACGAGGUCAGGAGUUCAAGACCAGCCUGGCCAACAUGGUGAAACCCUGUCUCUACUAAAAAUACAAAAAUUAGCCGGACGUGGUGGUGUGCGCAUGUAGUCCCAGCUACUCAGGAGGCUGAGGCAAGAGAAUCGCUUGAACCCAGGAGGUGGAGCUUGCAGUGAGCCAAGAUCAUGCCACUGCAAUCCAGCCUGAGUGACAGAAUGAGACUCUGUCCCCAAAAAAAAAAAAAAAAAAAAAAAAAAAUUCCCAGACCCUUGGCCCCAGACCUUCCCAAAGGAGGCUCAGGGAUUAGGUAUCUGGCUGUUGGUGACACAGGUGGUCUAUGAACCAGUUCUGAGAAACUGUCCCGCGUGGACAGGGGGUAGAUCCCAUCAGUUCUCAAAGGAGGCCGGGAUGUCUCGCCUCCUGAACUCCACAGGCUGGUAGAAGCGGGGCUUGAGGGACAGCAGGUUGGGAGCUUGAGGACUAAGUGGGCCAGUCCUGUCCUGCCACAGUGGGGGGAAGAGUCCACAGAAAACUUACUCAUGACCACGUGGGGAGCCGACUGUUCUUCCCAUCCCAAGUCUUUGACACUGGGGGCUUUGGGUGAGACCUUAAGGAGAUGGUCAGAUGGGUGGUCCAGGGUAUACUUUUAACAACUGAGAAGCCAUUUUUUCUGCCCCCUGGGCACAUAUGCCCAGCUCUGCAAAGACAGUGGCCAAGCUGAAGACAAGUCUUCCAUGUGGGGUGGAGAUGGGAGGGGUGGGUGCCAGGCUGCGGCCUGUGUCCUCCUGAUAGGCCCAGCCCCCUCAGUGGCCUCCGCGUUCCUGGGGGAAGGAAGGAAGGAGCUGGAGGAUACAGUGGUGCCUAUCUCGGGAGCCCAGGGAGGCGGGGACACAGGAGUGGCAGGCUUGGGGCGCCCGCGUGGAACAGUGCCAGGUCCACGUUUACCCACCACCAGAUAGACUUUUUCAUUUCAAGCAUAACUUGAGUCUGCACUGGGGAGACACUCGUGGGGGUGGCUGUGAUGAGGGCACUUCCGAGUCCCGACAACAGACACUGGCUCCUGCACCCACAUCACCACCAUGUCCCAGGGGCAGCCUGGAGGGGAGUUUGUGGUCAGAGCCCCAGCCAGGAAAGGAGAGAGUUCCAGAAUGUUCCAAGAGUCUAGCCGCAGGCCCCAGACACCAUGAGCUGGAGGGUCGGGAUGGGGCAGCCUCCCUGGUGCAGUCGGCACCUGGGCCCCCGGGCCCUGUCAGUGCUGUCGUGAGGUCUGUCUGCCCUGGGUCAGAGCAGCAGGCAGAGCCGGCGCUUCUUCUGCCGUUGCGCCUUCUUCAGAGCGCUGAGAGCCACCUUGGCAGCCUCCCGGAAGACGUCCUCUACAUUCUCCCGAAACUUGGCGGAACAUUCCAGGUAGAGAGCAGCUCGGAUCUGUUCGCAGGCGCUCAGGCCCUGGGUUGGGGGAGGAGCCAGCAUUAGGUGAGGGGCCCCUGGAGGUCUCCUGGCACCACCUGGUGGGUUUGGGACUGGCUCUGAGGACUCUCCAGGGAUGGAGGCCUUGGUUUGGGCCUGUCUGUCUCCUCCAUCCUGGCUGCCCCUCACAGUGUGUGGGUGGAAUGGAGGGCCAGGGCAGUGCAGCCCGCAGGUUGGAAGAAGCCCUGUCCAGGCCCCCACCCUGGCCUCUCUCCAGCUCCAGGCAGGGAGGGGCUGAAUCCUGAGACCCGGGGUUGGUUCCCCCAGGUGUGUCUCCCAGGCCUGUGAGAAGAGUUGGAGGCCUCAAGACAGAAAGGACUUCCAGCCACCUCUCUCCCUUCUCUGAAAGUACCAUUUAGGCAAAUUAAUUUGCCCUUUUAUUUAUUUAUUUUUGAGAUGGAGUUUUGCUCUUGUUACCCAGGCUGGAGUGCAAUGGCGCGAUCUUGGUUCAUCACAACCUCUGCCUCCCAGGUUCAAGCGAUUCUCCUGCCUCAGCCUCCCGAGUAGCUGGGAUUACAGACAUGCGCCACCAUGCCCGGCUAAUGUUGUAUUUUUAGUAGAGACGGGGUUUCUCUCAUGUUGGUCAGGCUGGUCUCAAACUCCCAACCUCAGGUGAUUCGCCCGCCUCGGCCUCCCAAAGUGCUGGGAUUACAGGCUUGAGCCACUAUGCCCGGCCGAAUUUGCCCUUAUUAAUGGUUAUUUCUUGUGAAAGUUUCUUUUUGCCUUUGCAUUCCUUUUAUUCUGUUUAUUCCCCCAUGCCUCACCCAGAGUUGCACGGUCAAUUGGCCCGUGAAGGGGACGCCUACUUUCAAACAAGGCAGACAGGACACGACAGGACGGCGGCUCAUAGCACAGACUUUGGAUUGCAGUGGAUGGGACCAGAUCCUGGCUCCACUUCUGGCUAGCUGUGUGGCCCUGGGCAAGCUGCUUAACCUCUCUGGGCCUCAGUUUCUCCCUCUGUAAACUGGGGGAUGUGAACAGCGCCUGCCUCCGAGUCCUAAGGAUUGGGAGUAGUCGUGUAAAGUGCUCAGGUCCACAGGCCAUCAAUACUAAUAGUUAAAAAUUAUUCUUAGAAUCUUGCUUCCCUCAGCUCCCUGAAAGGCCACUAAGGCACCCCAGUUGCAGAGGCCAAAGGUCCGGGAGGCUUCACAGCCACGGCUGUGCCCCAGGGUCUUGGCCCCUGGCCCACCUGCAUGUAGGUGAUGGGCUCCAGCUGGGCGGCCCGGAGCUUCCGCAGCUGCUCCUUGUCCUUCCUCAGGUCUGUCUUGCAGCCGAUGAGCACCAUGGGGAUCCCGCGGCAGAAAUGCGUGACCUCAGGGAACCACUGUGGAGGGAGGAGGCAGGGGAUCAGGGGUGGGGCCGGGCCCAGAUGUGGGGCCACCACCCAGGAGGCCGGCCUCACCUUGAUGAGGACGUUGUCGUAGCUGGUGGGAUUCAUGACGUCAUAGCAGAUGAGCACGAGUUUCAAACUUACAGUAAAAUUGCAACACGAG